rnacentral:misc_RNA from 1 species
CUGGCGCGUCCUCCGCCGCAACCUCAUCUCCGAGAUCCUCCACCCCACCCGCGUCCAAAUCUACGCCCCUGGCCGCCAGUGGGUCCUCUCCGUCCUCACCCAAAACCUCCGCUCCAAGUCUCAAUCAUCCAACGGUGUUGUAGCCAUGGAGAGCUUCCAGUUCGCGAUGUUCUGCCUCCUCGUGCUCAUGUGCUUUGGGGAGAAGCUCGACGAGAAAGCCAUUUUAGAGAUCGAGGUUGCUCAGAGAAACCUCCUCCUCAAUGCCAG